CCUACGGGAGGCAGCAGUAGGGAAUCUUUCACAAUGGGCGAAAGCCUGAUGGAGCAACGCCGCGUGCAGGAUGAAGGCCUUCGGGUUGUAAACUGCUUUUAUAAGCGAGAAAUAUGAUGGUAACUUAUGAAUAAGGAUCGGCUAACUACGUGCCAGCAGCCGCGGUCAUACGUAGGAUCCUAGCAUUAUCCGGAGUGACUGGGUGUAAAGAGUUGCGUAGGUGGCAUAAUAAGUAGCUAGUGAAAUCUGGUGGCUCAACCAUUCAGACUAUUAGCUAAACUGUUAAGCUCGAGACCGUUAGGGGUAACUGGAAUUUCUAGUGUAGGAGUGAAAUCCGUAGAUAUUAGAAGGAACACCAAUAGCGUAGGCAGGUUGCUGGGACGGUUCUGACACUAAGGCACGAAAGCGUAGGGAGCAAACGGGAUUAGAUACCCCAGUAGUC
rnacentral:rRNA from 1 species